GUUUCAGGGCGAGGUGAAAUUCCUCACCGGCGGUAAAGUCCGCGAGCCAAGUUCUGUAUAGGAGCAAGGUUGAUUCGGUGAAAUUCCGAAACCGACGGUAUAGUCCGGAUGAAAGAAA
rnacentral:ncRNA from 1 species